rnacentral:lncRNA from 11 species
GGGAUAUAAGGACAGGAAAGGAGGAGAUUCCUCAAUGGUUGUGUCUUCAUGAGAUAUCUACAUUCCAGUCUGUGUCCUGAGCCUGGGGCUUGACUGAAGCUCCAUCCUACUAUAGGGAGAGGAAAGGAGGACGCUGUCAGUGAGGCUCUUCCUCCUCCCUGUUUUCACUUGGAAUGAGCACGAACUCCCCCACACAGCUGAGCAGUACCUGGGAAGACAGAAUGGAAUCAAGAGCCUCUCACUUGUUGCUGGAAAGCGGGCAGCAAUCAUGCACAGGGACCACCCUCAACCACUUCCAAAAAGAGGAAGCAUUGACUGAGUGCUGAGAUCAAAUCCUACACAGUGCUGCAAGUCUGAAGCUCGACAGGGAAGAAGGGGCUAGUUUUGUUCGAUAUCUCAGUGUCCAUUCCCGGUGUGCCAGCCUCCGAUCAAGUCCAUUUCAAGACACACUCAUCGAGGACAGAGUCAGAGAUUGCUUCAUUGCUCUACUUGGCCAAAGAAAGAUGUCAGGGAUCUGACAUGCUCGAUGCUCACAGAAAUUGGCGUUUUAUAGACAUUUGAAAAGAACUGAAGUUGUGACUGGGACAACUUACAAUUCCAUUGGUUCAUAAUAAAUUCAUUGUUGUCAUAUUUAUAGUUUGUGAUUGGUGUACAGUGUGGUG